rnacentral:piRNA from 1 species
CAGAAAGGACUACUGUGGAAUCAAUGAAGU